UGUGCGUCAGGGUUCAAUACUUGACUUUCAGUUGUGCCGUAGUUGCUGUUUCUGUGGAGCUUAAAAUUGGAUGAGCACACGUCAGAACUCCA